rnacentral:rRNA from 1 species
UACGAAGGGGGCUAGCGUUGCUCGGAAUCACUGGGCGUAAAGCGCACGUAGGCGGCUUCUUAAGUCAGGGGUGAAAUCCUGGAGCUCAACUCCAGAACUGCCUUUGAUACUGAGUAGCUUGAGUCCGGGAGAGGUGAGUGGAACUGCGAGUGUAGAGGUGAAAUUCGUAGAUAUUCGCAAGAACACCAGUGGCGAAGGCAGGUCUCUGGGCAUUAACUGACGCUGAGGAGCGAAAGCAUGGGGAGCGAACAGG